rnacentral:tRNA from 1 species
GGCCUUUUAGUUAAGUUGGUAUAAUGGAUUUUUAGGGUAAAUCUGUCGUGAGUUCGAAUCUCGCAAAGGCCC